ACAUCCAGCGAAUUCGGUAGAGAUACCUUAGGUGCCUUCGGGAACGCUGAGACAGGUGCUGCAUGGCUGUCGUCAGCUCGUGUUGUGAAAUGUUGGGUUAAGUCCCGCAACGAGCGCAACCCUUAUCCUUUGUUGCCAGCGGUCCGGCCGGGAAACUCAAAGGAGACUGCCAGUGAUAACUGGAGGAAGGUGGGGAUGACGUCAAGUCAUCAUGGCCCUUACGAGUAGGGCUACACACGUGCUACAAUGGCGCAUACAAAGAGAAGCGACCUCGCGAGAGCAAGCGGACCUCAUAAAGUGCGUCGUAGUCCGGAUUGGAGUCUGCAACUCGACUCCAUGAAGUCGGAAUCGCUAGUAAUCGUAGAUCAGAAUGCUACGGUGAAUACGUUCCCGGGCCUUGUACACACCGCCCGUCACACCAUGGGAGUGGGUUGCAAAAGAAGUAGGUAGCUUAACCUUCGGGAGGGCGCUUACCACUUUGUGAUUCAUGACUGGGGUGAAGUCGUAACAAGGUAAGCGUAGCGAG
rnacentral:rRNA from 1 species